ACGUAGGGGGCGAGCGUUGUCCGAAGUUACUGGGCGUAAAGGGCGCGUAGGCGGCCACGACAAGUCACUUGUGAAAUCUCCGGGCUUAACUCGGAACGGUCAAGUGAUACUGUCGGGCUAGAGUACAGAAGGGGCAACUGGAAUUCUCGGUGUAGCGGUGAAAUGCGUAGAUAUCGAGAGGAACACCUGCGGCGAAGGCGGGUUGCUGGGCUGAUACUGACGCUGAUGCGCGAAAGCCAGGGGAGCGAACGGGA
rnacentral:rRNA from 1 species